CCAUUGCUCACUCCCAAAUACCGAACCAACCUUUGUAAUUCAGCAGCAUAUUCUGCAGCUUCAAUCCCAGUUCUCAUAUCAGGUUCUGAAACAAUCUCGAGCAAUGGCACCCCAGCUCUAUUUAAAUCAACCUGCAGGGCAUAACUAACAGCGUCAACAAGGCCAUGAUGUAGACAAUGGUUAUCUAUUUAAGCCCUACAUUGUUAUGGCUUGGUAUGAGGGAAAAACAAACUGACAGAAACCGCCAACUUUUAUUUAACAGCUAUUGAUAAAAGCAUCUAGACAGAAUUAAAAUGCUUUAUCUGAGGGAAAAACAAAUUGGCAGGAAACCACCAACUUUUAUUUAACACCUAUUGAUAAAACCAUCUAGACAGAAUUAAAAUGCUUUAUCACUGAACAAGUGCAUUUAUAACUUUCAAUUAAUAUAUCAUACAAAUAGUACACAAUGUUUCAGAAUCAACUAUAAUAGCAAUAACGUGUGGGAAGAAACAAAUAGCAGCUUCAGAAAAAGAUUCAAAAAACAAAUAAAUACAGAUACAGCAACGUAAGCAGAGCUGAAAACCAAUGUAACAUGAUAGGAAAAGUAAUUUCCUGUGAGUAUUCUCCAUCGUCAGCAUGAAGAAGCUUCCCUGCAUCUUCUUCCAUAUGAACUCUAGUAAUGCCAAACCUCCUAUGUCCACCACCAAACUCAACGGGAAGAUCCACAUCUAAGUAACCACCGGUGGCAAUUGGGAUAUCAAACUGAG
rnacentral:lncRNA from 1 species